UGUUAGUGAUUCAUUAUUGGUAGUAUUUGGUUGUGGUGAAAGGAAACCUGUUUGUAAUGGGUGUGAAUAAUGCCCUGUUCCCUCAAGGCAAGGUAGUGGAGGCAUUCACACGAGUUUUUCUUCCUGCUGCGGUUCCUGUGUAAGUCAAGGUCUGGUUUUCAUAGGUUAGUUUACAUGUAUUUAAAUAGAAGUAGACAUGCUUGGCUGGCUUGGCUUGUGAUCUUAGCCAAUUGAUUUUGUUCCAGCAGAUCAUCAGAUGAUUUCAUUGACAUCCUAAAGUAACUGAAGCAUUUAUCUUCAUGGUGUCUCAACUUGUGGUUCACUGUCAUGAACAUCCCAUGAGUCAGGCUGUCAUAUAGCAAAGGGUGAAUCCGAUGAUGUCUUUGUCUUCCUGUACCAUAUUUGUCGAUGCUGCAGGAAACAAAGACACACUACCUCUAAUGUUGAUACCACAAUGGAUGGUUCAUGUUGCAGCCAGGGUGAAUGGCAUGGCUCCAGUGGUAAGCUGCCUCUUGUGAAAAGCUUCUAUGGCUUAAACAGGGUCUUAGAAGGUCAUAGGAGAUGAAGUGUUUGUGAGAAGGUUGAUCUUUUACAGCAGUCUAUCCUGGGAGCAGAUGGCCACUGUCUCCUAGCACAGCACACUGCCACCUCACCAUCAUCAGGUUAAAGCAAUGCAAGGACCACCAUCAUUGACCUAUACAGAUCAGAUGAUGUCCCUCCAGAAGCUAAGAGACAGUAGGGAUUUCAGCCCUGAAGAAAAAGGAAA